rnacentral:lncRNA from 1 species
CGGCCCCACCCCGCGGGCAACGGGGUUUGGGGAUUGUCCCGGGUGCUCUCCCGCGGAGCUGUUUCCAAAAGUACACGUCGUGCGGUUUUGAGUCAUUGUGUUCUGGAGUGAGACGAGGCGUGUGUAUUAAUCUCGACUGCCAUCUCUGCUGUAGAAAACAUUUGAAGGAGUCAGAGAGCACAUAUCCCUUCUCCCCAGUAGGUGAAAAACACCGAUGGCCUUCGUGUCCGUGAAGCCCCGCCGUGAAGGGAGGGCAAGUUGAAGACAUCGUCAGAUGACAAACAAAAACAGAGUUAGCUGCCGUAGGCCCUUACCGUGGAAACUACUGAAGAAUGAACCUAAGACACAAGAAAACUGAACCCAAAAGGAAAUAGGGAAAUGCAAGAAAAAAU